UUCUCGAUUUUAAAAGAGUUAUUUAUAUUACUGUCAUAAUUAUUUAGAAUAUGAAAUGAAACGUUAAUAUAUCUAGUUUUCUAAGAAAAUUCAAUUUUAUUGUAUCUUAGGGGAUAAGCUUUAAGUAGGAUUAGAAGUUUUGUUUUAUUUAGUCUAUUAGAAUGUAAAAAUUAAUAAUUUUAUUAAAAAUGAUUAAAUUAGUAUUAGGUUAAAAAAAGGAAUUCGGCAAAUCUUUUUCACCUGUUUAUUAAAAACAUGGCCUUUUGAUAAUAAUUUAAGGUUUGACCUGCCCACUGAGGCCGCGGUAUACUGACCGUGCGAAGGUAGCAUAAUAAUUAGUUUUUUAAUUGAAAGCUAGAAUGAAUGGUUUGAUGAGAAAAGUUCUGUCUCUUUUUGAAAGAAUUUUAUUUUUAAGUAAAAAAGCUUAAAUUUGGUUAAAAGACAAGAAGACCCUAUAGAGUUUAAUUUUAAUUGGGGCGAUUAAAAAAUUAGAAAAACUUUUGAUUAUAAGAUUAAAUUACCUUAGGGAUAACAGCGUUAUUUUUCUAAGAGUUCAAAUCGAAAGAAAAGUUUGCGACCUCGA
rnacentral:rRNA from 1 species